rnacentral:rRNA from 1 species
UACGGAGGGGGCAAGCGUUGUUCGGAGUUACUGGGCGUAAAGCGCGCGUAGGCGGUGCGGUAAGUCAGGGGUUAAAGGCUGCAGCUCAACUGCAGUAAGGCCUUUGAUACUAUCGCGCUAGAGUACCAGAGAGGAUGGCGGAAUUCCCGGUGUAGCGGUGAAAUGCGUAGAUAUCGGGAGGAAGGCCGGUGGCGAAGGCGGCCCUCUGGGCCUGUACUGACACUGAGGCGCGAAAGCGUGGGGAGCGAACCGG